rnacentral:rRNA from 1 species
UACAGAGGUUUCAAGCGUUGUUCGGAUUCAUUGGGCGUAAAGGGUGCGUAGGCGGUGCGGUAAGUCGGGUGUGAAAUUUCGAGGCUUAACUUCGAAACUGCAUUCGAUACUGCCGUGCUUGAGGACUGGAGAGGAGACUGGAAUUUACGGUGUAGCGGUGAAAUGCGUAGAUAUCGUAAGGAAGACCAGUGGCGAAGGCGGGUCUCUGGACAGUUCCUGACGCUGAGGCACGAAGGCCAGGGGAGCAAACGGG